AGAGUUUGAUCAUGGCUCAGAUUGAACGCUGGCGGCAGGCCUAACACAUGCAAGUCGAGCGGCAGCGGGAAAGUAGCUUGCUACUUUUGCCGGCGAGCGGCGGACGGGUGAGUAAUGCCUGGGAAAUUGCCCAGUCGAGGGGGAUAACAGUUGGAAACGACUGCUAAUACCGCAUACGCCCUACGGGGGAAAGCAGGGGACCUUCGGGCCUUGCGCGAUUGGAUAUGCCCAGGUGGGAUUAGCUAGUUGGUGAGGUAAUGGCUCACCAAGGCGACGAUCCCUAGCUGGUCUGAGAGGAUGAUCAGCCACACUGGAACUGAGACACGGUCCAGACUCCUACGGGAGGCAGCAGUGGGGAAUAUUGCACAAUGGGGGAAACCCUGAUGCAGCCAUGCCGCGUGUGUGAAGAAGGCCUUCGGGUUGUAAAGCACUUUCAGCGAGGAGGAAAGGUUGAUGCCUAAUACGUAUCAACUGUGACGUUACUCGCAGAAGAAGCACCGGCUAACUCCGUGCCAGCCGCCGCGGUAAUUC
rnacentral:rRNA from 1 species